GCUUUGUUUUCUUCGCAAAUUGGAAAAUUUUAUCUUAUUUACAAUGGAAACGUGGAAUAAUGAAAGCACAGGAGUUAAUAAUCAACACAGAAAAACUUCAAAAAAAAAAUUAACGACUCAUCAGAAACAUAUAGCUGCCAAACGACAAAGGUUCAAAACAAAUCACAUGAAUAAAACAAAAAGGAAUGCCUGUGAAUAUUCAAUACAGUCCAAGUUAAAACUAGCUAUUGCGACAACAAACUUUCCACAAGAAAAAUUAACAAAAACUCUAACAAAACUAAUAUACAAUAUUUGGGAGGAAAAAUCCAAGCAAUCACACAACAAAAUAUCUCGAUACUUAAAAAACUCUACAUUUGUCCAUGGUUGUCUUGUUUUUCAUAAUGUUAAUAAACGACUGAAAAAAUGGCUUGAAUCAGUAAUUUUGGAAUGCAACAAUAACCAAAAGUGGCACAAACUAAGGGGUCCUACACUUUGUGUUACAUCAUACGAUAAAGUCAAGUUGAUACAAGUAAAAGUAAUGAUUCCAACUAUGGGAAGUGCUGCUGAUAUAAAGAAUAGGCUUAAAGUGCAAAAUAAGGAGCUAGAUUCCAGGAAUUGGACAUUUCUUUCUUGUAAAGACCAUACUGGCGGUAUGACACAAUGUGUGUUUGCUAUUACCAAUAAUUAUUUGAUGAAGUUAAAAGAAAGGAGAUUUGUUUUAUAUUUUGGAUUGAGGAAAGUUUAUGCAUCAAUAUAAAAGAAAAUUGUGAAUGUGGUGAUGAAGGACAAGAAGGAUCUCGAAAUCGUGCUCCAAAAAGAACCCAACAACCAUCUACUUUAGGAAGAACUAUUAAUUAUACUUCUGGAACGUCUUAUCCACUCCAAACAUUUCAAACUGAACAAGUACGACAAACUCAAUCGUCUAUUUUAGGAAGAAAUAAUAGUUAUAGUUCUGGUCCACCUUAUCCACUUCGACCUUUACACCCGGAACCACUGCAACAAACUCAAACAUCUUCAUCAGGAAGAGCACCCUAUCCAAUUGUACCUUUACACCCAAUGGCAAGUAAUGAUAAUAAUAAUAGUUCUGCCAUUGGGUGUGUUAUUCCAUCUGCCUCAGGAUCUCAAGUACCGCCUGGAUCAUUACAAACACCUCCGCCAUCAUACGAAGCAGCUACAUCAGAUCGUUUUUAAUAAACCACCUUAUAAAUAAUCUUUAAGUUAUUGUUAGUUUUUAUAAGUAAUGUUAACUUUAUGGUUAAUAAGAAUUUACAAUUUUA